rnacentral:misc_RNA from 1 species
AAGUCGUAACAAGGUUUCCGUAGGUGAACCUGCGGAAGGAUCAUUAUCGUAGGGCUUCGGCCCUGCCGAGAUAGAACCCUUGCCUUUUUGAGUACCUUUCGUUUCCUCGGCAGGCUCGCCUGCCAAUGGGGACCCCAAAAAACACUUUGCAGUACCUGUAAUAGUCUGAAAAACAAAACAAAAAUUAAAACUUUCAACAACGGAUCUCUUGGUUCUG